AAUAUUGGUAAAUGGAGUCAACUCUGAACCAGCCACGUCGCUUCAAGGAUGACGGCCCUACUGGUUGUAAACUUCACUUAUACAGGAAUAAAGUGAGUCCCGUGUGACUUUUUGCAUGUACUGUAUGACUAAGCAUUGGCUAACUCCGUGCCAUCAGCCGCGGUAAUACGGAGGAUCCAAGCGUUAUCCGGAUUUAUUGGGUUUAAAGGUUGCGCAGGCGGAAGAUUAAGUCGGCGGUGAAAUUUUGCAGCUCAACUGUAAAAGUGCCAUCGAUACUGGUUUUCUUGAGUGUGGAUGAAGUAGGCGGAAUUUGUGGUGUAGCGGUGAAAUGCAUAGAUAUCACGAGGAACUCCGAUUGCGCAGGCAGCUUACUAGGCCAUAACUGACGCUCAGGCACGAAGGCGUGGGGAUCAAACAGG
rnacentral:rRNA from 1 species